GAACCGUCAAACGUUAUUCGGAAUUAUUGGGCUUAAAGGGUGCGUAGGCGGUGCAGGUAAGUUGGGGUGUGAAAUCCCUCGGGCUCAACCGAGGAACUGCGCCCAAAACUACUGUACUCGAGGGAGACAGAGGUAAGCGGAACUGAUGGUGGAGCGGUGAAAUGCGUUGAUAUCAUCAGGAACACCAGUGGCGAAAGCGGCUUACUGGGUCUCUUCUGACGCUGAGGCACGAAAGCUAGGGUAGCGAACGGGAUUAGAUACCCCGGUAGUCCUAGCUGUAAACGAUGAGCACUUGGUCGGAGAUUCCCCGAGGAUUUCCGGCCGUAGCGAAAGUGUUAAGUGCUCCGCCUGGGGAGUAUGGUCGCAAAGGCUGA
rnacentral:rRNA from 1 species